rnacentral:rRNA from 1 species
UAGUCCACGCUGUAAACGAUGGAUACUCGAUGUUGCACCGCUUCAGGUGCAGUGUCUAAGCUAACGCGUUAAGUAUCCCACCUGGGGAGUACGAUCGCAAGGUUGAAACUCAAAGGAAUUGACGGGGGCCCGCACAAGCGGUGGAGCAUGUGGAUUAAUUCGAUGCAACGCGAAGAACCUUACCCAGGCUCGAACGCUACCGGACAGGUCCCGAAAAGGACCCUUCUUCGGACUGGUAGCGAGGUGCUGCAUGGCUGUCGUCAGUUCGUGUCGUGAGAUGUUGGGUUAAGUCCCGCAACGAACGCAACCCCUAUCGCUAGUUACCAGCGGGUAAUGCCGGGGACUCUAGCGAGACUGCCUGCGCAAGCAGUGAGGAAGGUGGGGAUGACGUCAAGUCAUCAUGGGCCCUUACGCCUGGGGGCUUCACACGUGCUACAAUGGCCGGUAC